rnacentral:rRNA from 1 species
GUGGGGAAUAUUGGACAAUGGGGGGAACCCUGAUCCAGCCAUGCCGCGUGUGUGAAGAAGGCCUUUUGGUUGUAAAGCACUUUAAGCGAGGAGGAGGCUACCGAGAUUAAUACUCUUGGAUAGUGGACGUUACACGCAGAAUAAGCACCGGCUAACUCUGUGCCAGCAGCCGCGGUAAUACAGAGGGUGCAAGCGUUAAUCGGAUUUACUGGGCGUAAAGCGCGCGUAGGUGGCCAAUUAAGUCAAAUGUGAAAUCCCCGAGCUUAACUUGGGAAUUGCAUUGGAUACUGGUUGGCUAGAGUAUGGGAGAGGAUGGUAGAAUUCCAGGUGUAGCGGUGAAAUGCGUAGAGAUCUGGAGGAAUACCGAUGGCGAAGGCAGCCAUCUGGCCUAAUACUGACACUGAGGUGCGAAAGCAUGGGGAGCAAACAGGAUUAGAAACCCGAGUAGUCC